rnacentral:tRNA from 1 species
GGAUUGUGGCUCAACGGUAGAGCGCUCACCUAGCAUGUGCGGGGCCCUGGGUUCGAUUCUCAGUACCA